CAAGAGGGAUGAGGUUGUUUUUGGUGACAAAGACAUGUCAUCGGGCUCCUGGCGCAUUGGAACGCAGCCUGAGUUAGACUGAGUGUGCCGGGCUUGAGGAAUCGCUAGAAGUGGAUGCGAGACUCGCCUCUGGGUGCCGUCCAGUGGCUCUUCGGGCCGUCCAAAGAGGGAUAAGGGACGGCGGGCCUGGCUGACUGAUAUUCAACAAGAAUUCUUCAACACUAGACUUCAAACCAGACCACGAACUGUCAGUGUGACGACACCCUGAGACUCAGGGAAAUUAAAGAACAUAGUCGAGGAGUACACGGAUGGAAGCAGCGACCAAAGGAGGAGAAGAAGAAGAGAACGAUGCACAGGAGCCAGCAUAAGAGGAAUGUGACGUAAGAAUGAAAGAGGAGAGCGACAGAAAGACAGAGAGACUAACACAUGCUAUUGAGGAAGAGAGAAAAGGAUGCAGAGUGAAGGGUGACAAAGACCUUGUGUGAAGAAGAGGGGUGUGGAUGAAAGGAAGCACCCUGCUGCUGUGGCCUGGUUCCCACAUCCCUAACAAACAAUGAGAAAAGCUCUUACUUGUUUAUAGCCUGUUUCACACAGACGCAAUCAAUAGCUGUGACUCAUUCAGUGCAUUGGGACAUAUUUGGAUUGGUUCUAGGGUUUCAUGUGAGGUAUUUUGAAAUAAUGAUGUUUUUUUUAUUCCUGCAUUUUCAGGGGCUGUAUCAAUGGACUUAGAUCCCUGCUGUCACUCUCCAUGGUGCUGAAGACACAAACUGUCUCCCAGUAUAUAGAGAGACUGUAAAGGGUAGUACGUGAACAGACUUUGACGAGUGGGAUUUAAAAAAAGUGCCUUGUUUUAGUUUACUAAAACUUAAUGUAACUAGCGGUACAUCACCCCUCUUACCUCUGCAACUGCUGUAAACUAUUGCGUAAACUUUAAAUCACUAUACUUCUUACUUAAAAUAGCUUUCCUUGUAACGCAAAAAAUGUCAUGAUUUAAGCAGCUUUUCCUUUCACUUGUUACUGUUCUUUUUCACAAGGUACAACUCAAAUUUACGAUAUAUAGAUGAUUCAGGGUCAGGGGUUAACCCAAAUCUCCCCAUUAAAUGGGUGAACCUUUGAUUUCGCGUGCGUUUCUUUAGCUGUUCGAUUUUUUCAUUAAAUUAAACAGUGUGUAUAUGAGAAAUUGCUAUACGGUGUCUUGGAAAUGUGAUUUUAGCAUAGCUAGAAUAGUGAGAGAAACUAGAACGAGAAAGAAUAAAGACUUUAAGAUAUAUGAAUAACUGGCAACCAAAGUGAAACCUAAGGUUCUCCCCCCGAGGCUUCAGAGAGGAACCCAACAUACCAAGUCCUCCUCUAUAAAGUAAGCUCGUAACUUCAAUUUUCACCAAACAGUAAGCUAAGAGAUCAAUACAUGUAUUUGUUUUUUAUCAUGAAAAAUGAUCAUUGACUGUCCCAGUACGUGUCAUCCACACACAGACAAGGACCUCAGUGGAGAGAAACCAGCUCCCGUGGCCAUCAGACCAUACAUCACGGAUCGCAGAAUGUAAUACUGUCCCAGCAUUAGUCCCUCUGGGUUGGGGGAUGGGUUGCAACAAGCUAGUUCAUAUAUAACCUUUAAAACUAUAACCGUAAAAGACCUCUGUCCACAAAUAUUUGUGACAGGAUGGUCUCAGUUUUUCAUCUUUGACUGUAGAGAUGCUCUUGAGAUGAAUCAAAGGUUACAGUAUCGUACUUCUAUCAGCACAGUGAGAUUCAUCUACUUGGAGGGUAAUAUCCAUCCCGAUAACACAUCCACCCUCUGAAGAUAUGCAGGGUAUUCCUCCUUGAUAGUGGAACGUGUGUGAAUUAUAAUAUGUUAUUAAUUUAUUUAUUUGGAGAAAAAAAUGGGUUAACAAACUUUAUGAAAAAAUGAUGAAAUGAUGAAAAAAAUCACACUACGACCGGAUGAGAAAGCUGUCACCAUUAUCUUUGGAGGAUUUUUUUCAAAAUUUCUUUGGUAUAAAUACUUAUGAAUAAAAGUAUUAAGACUUUAUAAUGUGUAGUAAUUAUCUCACAGGAUAUAUGAAACGAAUAAGUUGUAGUUGAUCAG